AAGUGCCCACACCCUUGGAAGACGAGAGAGAGCAGCCCUUGUCCCUCUUGUCGCUCCCGGAGGCCAGCUGUAUCCUCUCUCCUCCAUGUCCAGAGAGGGUCGUUUUUACUGUUCAUAGGAAGGCAGGGUUUCAGGAUGAGUGAAGGUGCACGGGCUAUUCAGGAAGAAGAGGGGAAACUGAUAAUGCUUGGGAAGGGCAUCCGACCCUCAGAUCACUCACCCCAUCCACCCAAAGCUGGAGGAGACCGUGCAGAUGGAGAAACUGAAGCAUGAAGAGGUGAAGUGAGGUCAUCGAGGGAGAAGGUGAUGGACUGGCUUCUGGUCUCUUGCUCCAAGCCCUCCUCCACUUUGUCUCUCUCAUAAACAGCCAUCAAUAACUUCAUCUCCAGGCCAAACACUGCAAACCAGGACCCACAGUGUACAAAGUAUCUAAGUGCAAAUGGGAUCUCCACCAACCUGGGCAGAGCCAGGGUCUGAGCAGAAAUGAAGGGAAGACAAGUGUUACCACUGGGGGCAGAAACUCACAGUGAUGUGCCAGGAACAAGGAAGUGAUGAGUGAAAGCUCCACCUGAUUGGUCCAUCCAGCACUAACAGAUCAAGAUCAUAUCAACCUAAUGGCAAGACCUCCUCAAUGUUUACUUUGUUUAAUAACCGAUUUUUGACACUAUACUUAGAGAUUUUCCUUCCUUAAUAUCAUAACUGGCUGAUGACAAAAUAAUUAAAAUUUCAUGUGAGUGCUCAUAUGUUGUGAUAAUGCAUACCAUGUAUAAGUCAACCAAACCUUAGGCUGACUGAACAUUUCUACUUAAAAACUAAGGUUGUGACCCAUUUUCCUUUUACAUAUUGUGUACCCCAAAACAUACCUUAUCUCUGUAGGUUUUCAGCCUGGCUCCACCACUUUGUCACCUCAAAGCAAAAGCUCUGAGCCUCAAAUUCCUCCCCUAUAAAUGGGGUAAUCAGGCCUAUCUCAGAUUGUUUUUUUUGCUAAGACUAAUUGACUUCAUGUUUGUAAAAGUAUCAAACACAACACUUGGUACAUAGACAGUGCUUAGUAAAUGCUAUUUCCUUCUUCCCCAUCUUUGAAUAUAUUCUUCAUAAAGCGCUUUAA